rnacentral:rRNA from 1 species
UACGAAGGGUGCAAGCGUUACUCGGAAUUACUGGGCGUAAAGCGUGCGUAGGUGGUUUGUUAAGUCUGUUGUGAGAGCCCCGGGCUCAACCUGGGAAUGGCAAUGGAUACUGGCAGGCUAGAGUGCGGUAGAGGGUAGUGGAAUUCCCGGUGUAGCGGUGAAAUGCGUAGAGAUCGGGAGGAACACCAGUGGCGAAGGCGGCUACCUGGACCAGCACUGACACUGAGGCACGGAAGCGUGGGGAGCAAACAGG